rnacentral:rRNA from 1 species
GACGAACGCUGGCGGCGCGCUUAACACAUGCAAGUCGAACGGAAAGGCCUGCUUUCCCUUGUGGAUUGCGGGUACUCGAGUGGCGAACGGGUGAGUAACACGUGAGUGAUCUGCCCCCAACUUGGGUAUAAGCCUGGGAAACUGGGUCUAAUUCCCGAUAGGACUGCAGGGUGGUGCCUGUGGUGGAAAACGAUUUUCUAGUGGUUGGGGAUGAGCUCGCGGCCUAUCAGCUUGUUGGUGGGGUAAUGGCCUACCAAGGCGGCGACGGGUAGCCGGCCUGAGAGGGUGGACGGCCACAUUGGGACUGAGAUACGGCCCAGACUCCUACGGGAGGCGGCAGUGGGGAAUAUUGCACAAUGGGCGGAAGCCUGAUGCAGCGACGCCGCGUGGGGGAUGGCGGCCUUCGGGUUGUAAACUCCUUUCGACCGCGAGGAAGCCACCUGGUUGGAAGGGUGGUGACGGUAGUGGUAGAAGAAGCACCGGCUAACUACGUG